UUAAGUUCAGCGGGUCUUCCUACCUGAUCCGAGGUCAACCUUGUGGUAUGGGGGGGUUUAACGGCCGGGAAACCCGCGGCACGCCCUGGGCGAGGUGUAAACUACUACGCUCGGGGUGACAGCGAGCCCGCCACUGGUUUUCGGGGCCUGCGGCAGCCGCAGGUCCCCAACACAAGCCCGGGGGGCUUGAUGGUUGAAAU
rnacentral:misc_RNA from 1 species